UAGGUUUGGAGAAGAGGAGGAGAGAAGAGAAGAGAAAAUUUGAAAGGUGAAGUUUAUUAGUGGUUACACCAUAUCUUUUUGCAUGAAUAUUCAUGUACUCAUUUCAAAAGUUUGUUGAAAUUCUAAGAAGCUUAAAAUUAACCACUAUGUCUAAAAUGAUACCCUCGACUACAAGUUAUAGAAAAACCUAAUUUGUACAUCUUACAUAGUAGAAAAUACAUUAUCCCACAUAACAGAAGGUAUUGGGUACGUGGUUAAACGGUUGGUUAAUUCUUUGGGUCAAUGAUAUCAGUUAUCCUCCUCAACUUCUUUGUGAUCUUCUUUGUGAUUCUCUCAUCUUUUACCUCAUACCUUAAAGGUGGCUGCCAGAGAUCCAAGUAUCACAUUAUCAUACAAAAAUUUCCAAAGGCAGGAUGUGGUAUGUCCUUUUUAAGAGUGAGGGCAAUUCCAGAAGCCUCUCGCAUCUUUAAUAAUCUACCAGGUGAUCUGGGAGCUGUUUGAUCUAGGAGAGGUCUUUAGCAUUAGUAAUUUUGCUCUAUUUCAUAGGCCCUUUUAUCCUGAAGCAGGGUAGCUUGGACUUUUACACAAGGUGGUAGAAAGAUCCCCAGGGCCACUGAAAAACAAUCCCCAAGUAUAAGUGCUUUUAAGAACUUUGUUUGUAUCAUGUUUAUCAAUGUCUCCGUGGCCAAAUAAAGUCACAUGUCCAAUCCUGAUUCCAGGGGUGUAAAAUAAAAAGGCAUGCACUGUCACAUUGCAAAGGGGUAGAUGCAACAGAGAAAGAAUGAAUGGCCAGUUUUAAAAUCUCCCGUAUAGGUUUACCAUAAGUUGCUAUGCUGAACUGCUUUCUAAAUUUUCUACAACAUGUGAACAAUGGCAAAAAUCAACAGAAUAAAAACAGUUAUAUAUUGCUUUUUAUGUACCAUACAUUAUUCUAAAUCCUUGCACAUUAAAUUAAUGAUUACAUUAUCAUAAAACUUGAAGUCUGCAGUGGAAAGCAUCAUGAUAUAGUUUUUCUCAGCAAAUAAUCUAUAAAAUGGGUAUAUGUCAGUUUGGGUCUUCCAAGAAGGAAGGAAGGAAGGAAAGAAGAAAAGACAAGGAAGAAAAAGAAGAAACAGAAAGAAGAAUUGGAUAUGAAGAGCUUAGACAACAGCACAAUACUAAAGAAAAAAAAAGUCUUAUGGCUGAUGGGGAAUCCCUGAGCCAAACUAGUCCAUAGAAAGAACCCUGCAGAAGGCAGGAACCAGCCAAUUCCAGUGUCCCUGCUAGAUUUAGUCUGUGGCUGGCAGCAAGCA
rnacentral:lncRNA from 1 species